GCCCCGCUAGCUCAGCCGGUAGAGCACCGGAUUCUUAAUCCGUAGGUUGCAGGUUCGAGUCCUGCGCGGGGCACCA
rnacentral:tRNA from 1 species